UCGAUGGACGAAGUCUGACGGAGCAACGCCGCGUGAGUGAUGAAGGCUUUCGGGUCGUAAAACUCUGUUGUUAGGGAAGAACAAGUACGAGAGUAACUGCUCGUACCUUGACGGUACCUAACCAGAAAGCCACGGCUAACUACGUGCCAGCAGCCGCGGUAAUACGUAGGUGGCAAGCGUUAUCCGGAAUUAUUGGGCGUAAAGCGCGCGCAGGCGGUUUCUUAAGUCUGAUGUGAAAGCCCACGGCUCAACCGUGGAGGGUCAUUGGAAACUGGGGAACUUGAGUGCAGAAGAGAAAAGCGGAAUUCCACGUGUAGCGGUGAAAUGCGUAGAGAUGUGGAGGAACACCAGUGGCGAAGGCGGCUUUUUGGUCUGUAACUGACGCUGAGGCGCGAAAGCGUGGGGAGCAAACAGGAUUAGAUACCCUGGUAGUCCACGCCGUAAACGAUGAGUGCUAAGUGUUAGAGGGUUUCCGCCCUUUAGUGCUGCAGCUAACGCAUUAAGCACUCCGCCUGGGGAGUACGGUCGCAAGACUGAAACUCUGAAA
rnacentral:rRNA from 1 species